rnacentral:rRNA from 1 species
UACGUAGGGGGCGAGCGUUGUCCGGAAUUAUUGGGCGUAAAGAGCGUGUAGGCGGCUCGGUAAGUCCGCCGUGAAAACCCAGGGCUCAACCCCGGGCUUGCGGUGGAUACUGUCGGGCUAGAGGAUGGUAGAGGCGAGUGGAAUUCCCGGUGUAGCGGUGAAAUGCGCAGAUAUCGGGAGGAACACCAGUAGCGAAGGCGGCUCGCUGGGCCAUUCCUGACGCUGAGACGCGAAAGCGUGGGGAGCGAACAGG